GUCAUCUUCCCAGGGUCAGUUACUUCUCAACUUAUGGAAAAAUAGAUGCACAGGUAACAAAGUCCUUGCCAUUUUCUCAGGAAAGGAGGCUUACUGGAAAUCUACCAUGUUUGGGGCAAGAGAAAUGGAUAUGGCAACUUACAAAGAUGAUCAAAGCCCUGCUACACAGUUUACUGUCCAGCAAAGGAGGUUCUAAAAGCAUUGAAAUUGAUUCUCCAAUGACUCCUUUCCAGAAGUUAUUCUUACAUUUGUGGAUUGGUAUAGACCCAAAAUGGAAGUUGAAAUAUGCAUUGCAUCAUUUGUCACAUUAGCUACAAAGGAAG